UUAAGUUAUUAAGGGCGCACGGUGGAUGCCUUGGCACUAGAAGCCGAUGAAGGACGUUACUAACGACGAUAUGCUUUGGGGAGCUGUAAGUAAGCUUUGAUCCAGAGAUUUCCGAAUGGGGAAACCCAGCAUGAGUUAUGUCAUGUUAUCGAUAUGUGAAUACAUAGCAUAUCAGAAGGCACACCCGGAGAACUGAAACAUCUUAGUACCCGGAGGAAGAGAAAGAAAAUUCGAUUCCCUUAGUAGCGGCGAGCGAAACGGGAAGAGCCCAAACCAACAAGCUUGCUUGUUGGGGUUGUAGGACACUCUAUACGGAGUUACAAAGGACGACAUUAGACGAAUCAUCUGGAAAGAUGAAUCAAAGAAGGUAAUAAUCCUGUAGUCGAAAAUGUUGUCUCUCUUGAGUGGAUCCUGAGUACGACGGAGCACGUGAAAUUCCGUCGGAAUCUGGGAGGACCAUCUCCUAAGGCUAAAUACUCUCUAGUGACCGAUAGUGAACCAGUACCGUGAGGGAAAGGUGAAAAGCACCCCGGAAGGGGAGUGAAAUAGAACCUGAAACCGUGUGCUUACAAGUAGUCAGAGCCCGUUAAUGGGUGAUGGCGUGCCUUUUGUAGAAUGAACCGGCGAGUUACGAUUUGAUGCAAGGUUAAGCAGUAAAUGUGGAGCCGUAGCGAAAGCGAGUCUGAAUAGGGCGUUUAGUAUUUGGUCGUAGACCCGAAACCAGGUGAUCUACCCUUGGUCAGGUUGAAGUUCAGGUAACACUGAAUGGAGGACCGAACCGACUUACGUUGAAAAGUGAGCGGAUGAACUGAGGGUAGCGGAGAAAUUCCAAUCGAACCUGGAGAUAGCUGGUUCUCUCCGAAAUAGCUUUAGGGCUAGCCUCAAGUGAUGAUUAUUGGAGGUAGAGCACUGUUUGGACGAGGGGCCCCUCUCGGGUUACCGAAUUCAGACAAACUCCGAAUGCCAAUUAAUUUAACUUGGGAGUCAGAACAUGGGUGAUAAGGUCCGUGUUCGAAAGGGAAACAGCCCAGACCACCAGCUAAGGUCCCAAAAUAUAUGUUAAGUGGAAAAGGAUGUGGCGUUGCCCAGACAACUAGGAUGUUGGCUUAGAAGCAGCCAUCAUUUAAAGAGUGCGUAAUAGCUCACUAGUCGAGUGACACUGCGCCGAAAAUGUACCGGGGCUAAACAUAUUACCGAAGCUGUGGAUUGUCCUUUGGACAAUGGUAGGAGAGCGUUCUAAGGGCGUUGAAGCAUGAUCGUAAGGACAUGUGGAGCGCUUAGAAGUGAGAAUGCCGGUGUGAGUAGCGAAAGACGGGUGAGAAUCCCGUCCACCGAUUGACUAAGGUUUCCAGAGGAAGGCUCGUCCGCUCUGGGUUAGUCGGGUCCUAAGCUGAGGCCGACAGGCGUAGGCGAUGGAUAACAGGUUGAUAUUCCUGUACCACCUAUAAUCGUUUUAAUCGAUGGGGGGGACGCAGUAGGAUAGGCGAAGCGUGCGAUUGGAUUGCACGUCUAAGCAGUAAGGCUGAGUAUUAGGCAAAUCCGGUACUCGUUAAGGCUGAGCUGUGAUGGGGAGAAGACAUUGUGUCUUCGAGUCGUUGAUUUCACACUGCCGAGAAAAGCCUCUAGAUAGAAAAUAGGUGCCCGUACCGCAAACCGACACAGGUAGUCAAGAUGAGAAUUCUAAGGUGAGCGAGCGAACUCUCGUUAAGGAACUCGGCAAAAUGACCCCGUAACUUCGGGAGAAGGGGUGCUCUUUAGGGUUAACGCCCAGAAGAGCCGCAGUGAAUAGGCCCAAGCGACUGUUUAUCAAAAACACAGGUCUCUGCUAAACCGUAAGGUGAUGUAUAGGGGCUGACGCCUGCCCGGUGCUGGAAGGUUAAGAGGAGUGGUUAGCUUCUGCGAAGCUACGAAUCGAAGCCCCAGUAAACGGCGGCCGUAACUAUAACGGUCCUAAGGUAGCGAAAUUCCUUGUCGGGUAAGUUCCGACCCGCACGAAAGGCGUAACGAUUUGGGCACUGUCUCAACGAGAGACUCGGUGAAAUCAUAGUACCUGUGAAGAUGCAGGUUACCCGCGACAGGACGGAAAGACCCCGUGGAGCUUUACUGUAGCCUGAUAUUGAAAUUCGGCACAGCUUGUACAGGAUAGGUAGGAGCCUUUGAAACGUGAGCGCUAGCUUACGUGGAGGCGCUGGUGGGAUACUACCCUAGCUGUGUUGGCUUUCUAACCCGCACCACUUAUCGUGGUGGGAGACAGUGUCAGGCGGGCAGUUUGACUGGGGCGGUCGCCUCCUAAAAGGUAACGGAGGCGCUCAAAGGUUCCCUCAGAAUGGUUGGAAAUCAUUCAUAGAGUGUAAAGGCAUAAGGGAGCUUGACUGCGAGACCUACAAGUCGAGCAGGGUCGAAAGACGGACUUAGUGAUCCGGUGGUUCCGCAUGGAAGGGCCAUCGCUCAACGGAUAAAAGCUACCCCGGGGAUAACAGGCUUAUCUCCCCCAAGAGUUCACAUCGACGGGGAGGUUUGGCACCUCGAUGUCGGCUCAUCGCAUCCUGGGGCUGUAGUCGGUCCCAAGGGUUGGGCUGUUCGCCCAUUAAAGCGGUACGCGAGCUGGGUUCAGAACGUCGUGAGACAGUUCGGUCCCUAUCCGUCGUGGGCGUAGGAAAUUUGAGAGGAGCUGUCCUUAGUACGAGAGGACCGGGAUGGACAUACCUCUGGUGUACCAGUUGUCGUGCCAACGGCAUAGCUGGGUAGCUAUGUGUGGACGGGAUAAGUGCUGAAAGCAUCUAAGCAUGAAGCCCCCCUCAAGAUGAGAUUUCCCAACUUCGGUUAUAAGAUCCCUCAAAGAUGAUGAGGUUAAUAGGUUCGAGGUGGAAGCAUGGUGACAUGUGGAGCUGACGAAUACUAAUCGAUCGAAGACUUAAUCAA
rnacentral:rRNA from 18 species